UUAACCCCACCGUGGAGGUCACCAUCCUGCCGCCAUCUUUGGAGGACCUCUACCUCCAGCAGAGCGCCAACCUCACCUGCGUGGCCUCCAACCUCAAGUCCCCCGACGACGUCAAGUUCUCCUGGAGCCGCCAGAAGGCCGGCGCCGCCUUGGAGGUCACCCCCGGCGCCCCGUCCGAGUUGGCCAACGGCCUCUACAGCGUCUCCAGCAGCCUGAAGCUCUGCGCCGACGAGUGGGACUCUGGUGAGACCUUCACCUGCACCGUGAAACUUCCGGAACUGGACGAGGAGAUCAAGAGGCCCAUCCGGAAGGAGAUAG